AACGAACGCUGGCGGCAUGCCUAACACAUGCAAGUCGAACGAGACCUUCGGGUCUAGUGGCGCACGGGUGCGUAACGCGUGGGAAUCUGCCCUUGGGUUCGGGAUAACAGUUGGAAACGACUGCUAAUACCGGAUGAUGACUUCGGUCCAAAGAUUUAUCGCCCAGGGAUGAGCCCGCGUAGGAUUAGCUAGUUGGUGAGGUAAAAGCUCACCAAGGCGACGAUCCUUAGCUGGUCUGAGAGGAUGAUCAGCCACACUGGGACUGAGACACGGCCCAGACUCCUACGGGAGGCAGCAGAGGGGAAUAUUGGACAAUGGGCGAAAGCCUGAUCCAGCAAUGCCGCGUGAGUGAUGAAGGCCUUAGGGUUGUAAGGCUCUUUUACCCGGGAUGAUAAUGACAGUACCGGGAGAAUAAGCCCCGGCUAACUCCGUGCCAGCCGCCGCCGUAACAC
rnacentral:rRNA from 1 species